UACGUAGGGGGCAAGCGUUGUCCGGAAUCAUUGGGCGUAAAGAGCGCGUAGGCGGCCCUGUAAGUCCGCUGUGAAGGUCAAGGGCUCAACCCUUGGAUGCCGGUGGAUACUGCAGGGCUAGAGUCCGGAAGAGGCGAGUGGAAUUCCUGGUGUAGCGGUGAAAUGCGCAGAUAUCAGGAGGAACACCGAUGGCGAAGGCAGCUCGCUGGGACGGUACUGACGCUGAGGCGCGAAAGCGUGGGGGAGCAAACAGG
rnacentral:rRNA from 1 species